AGAGGCCACCACAGUUGGGUUCAUUUUGUAGUAAAGUACCCUAUGAUCAUCUUUUGUAUAUGAUGGUAAAUGAUGAAAGGAAAAGAAAGUAAUGUGUAUUUUGAAGCAAUUGUGAUGUAAGAAAGAAAUGAUGAAACGAAAUGUAAGAAAUUCGAAGAAUUACGAGUUGGAUGUAUGUGUAUGAUCUAAAUUGAAUCAUAGUACAAAAGAAUGUUUAGUUUUUCCUUUC
rnacentral:lncRNA from 1 species